AUACGUAGGGGGCGAGCGUUGUCCGGAAUGAUUGGGCGUAAAGGGCGCGUAGGCGGCCCGGUAAGUCUGGAGUGAAAGUCCUGUUUUUAAGAUGGGAAUUGCUUUGGAUACUGUCGGGCUUGAGUGCAGGAGAGGUAAGUGGAAUUCCCAGUGUAGCGGUGAAAUGCGUAGAGAUUGGGAGGAACACCAGUGGCGAAGGCGGCUUACUGGACUGUAACUGACACUGAGGCACGAAAGCGUGGGGAGCAAACAGGAUUAGAUACCCUGGUAGUCCACGCUGUAAACGAUGAAUACUAGGUGUAGGGGGUAUCAACUCCCUCUGUGCCGCAGCAAACGCAAUAAGUAUUCCGCCUGGGGAGUACGGCCGCAAGGUUGAAACUCAAAUGAAUUGACGGGG
rnacentral:rRNA from 1 species